AGAUUCACAUAUGAUAGGAAGACAUGUUAUGAAGUUGAUGGGUAGCAAAUAUUAUACUUUGUUUACAUGAGAAGUGAGUUCCUCAUAUGAAAUAUGCUUUCGGAGAAACAUAAUGAGAGAGAUUGAAUUUUCUCUAGGUUCAACAUUGCGAAUGGUCUGCUUAUGGCUUGGUAUGUGGUGUCACAAUGAUUUUUUUCUAGAACUCUGAGGUCUUUGAAGAAAUAAGAAGAUCCUUAAUCUUGGGUUAAUUAUCUAUAUGAUUAUCGACGAGAUGACAUGUGAUUCUUCCAAGUCUUGAGGAUGAACAAGUAUGGCUUGGAACAAGCAGUAGCUGGAGGAGUUGGAUUUCAACAACAAUGAGAUGAACGAGGAGUUCCUCAAGAAGAAUAACGACAACAUUAGAUCAUGAUAUAUUGCAGACCCUUAAGUUUAUAAAGAGUUGACUUAGUUUUUUGGAUUAUCUUUUCAAAUAGGUUCAUUGCUCCGGCCCGAUUAAUCCAGCAUGUCCAAACAGGCCGGCCGUUCUAUGUUCCGGGGUUGGGUCGGAUAGGACCAGAUCCAAUCGGAUCUGAUCGUAGCUUCGAGUUCAGGUGCCGUACUGCGGCCGGACCGGAAAGGAGGGGGACAGCGAACCUCACUUGCUUUUGUUGUAGUUUGUUAGUCUUAACGCAGGAAAAAAAAGAAGAGAAAAUCUUAUUCACAUCAGCUUGACUUUAUUCCAUAUAUGUGAUGCUCUUUGAGUUAUUAUAUAUCUAAUAUGAAUUGAAUCUGCAAUGUUUUUGUAAAA